rnacentral:lncRNA from 1 species
AGAGAUCAUCUGACUGGAUGAUCUUUUGCCUGCUCUCCCUCACUGGCGUAUACGGUUUUGGUUACCAUUAAGUUAGAAUAAAUUUUGAAAUCAAAAAGUGUGGCCAGGUGCUGUGAUACACAUAUUAAAUUCCAUUGCUUGGGAGUCAGAGGCAGGUGGAUCUCUGAGUUCAACCCUGGUCUACAGAGCAAAUUCCAGGACAACCAGGGCCAUACAGGGAAACCCUGUCUUGAAAACUUAAUAAUAAUAAUAAUAAUAAUAAUAAUAAUAACAAUAAUAAUAAUGUGUGAGACCUCAAACUUUGUUUUUUGUCUGAUUAUUUUGGCCAUCUGCAGAUCUGUGAUGGUGCUAUGUCAGUUUUAGGCUGGGUUUUCUGUGUCUGCUUUUUACACCCUCAUUGGGGCGUAGCUUGGGGACACACUGACUCUGCUUGCUGCUUUAGAUAACCUGGGCAACUGAUUUAAGUGUAGCUUCUAGUUGUGGUAGCUCACACGGUAAUCUCAGAACUCAGAAUGCUGAGACAGGAGGAUUACUGCAACUUCAGCAGCGGCCUGCUCUGCAGAGAAAGCAUUAAACUGCACAAGGCGAUGUGAUGUACCCUGCCCCUGUCUCAAAAACAAUCAGACAAG